GUACAAAGGGCAGGGACGUAAUCAACGCAAGCUCAUGACUUGCGCUUACUGGGAAUUCCUCGUUCAUGGGAGACAAUUGCAAACCCCAAUCCCUAUCAUGAAAGGAUUUCAACGGGUUACCCGCUCCUCUCGGAGGGGGAGGACACGUUGAUCCCUUCAGUGUAGCGCGCGUGCGGCCCAGAACAUCUAAGGGCAUCACAGACCUGUUAUUGCUCAAUCUCGUGCGGCUAGAAUUGCCGCUUAUCCCUCUAAGAAGAAGCUGCGAACUGGACACCAAUUGCUGGAGAUCCGUCGACUAGUUAGUAGGCCAGAGUCUCGUUCGUUAUCGGAAUUAACCAGACAAAUCGCUCCACCAACUAAGAACGGCCAUGCACCACCACCCACCGAAUCGAGAAAGAGCUCUCAAUCUGUCAAUCCUUCCGGUGUCUGGGCCUGGUGAGGUUCCCCGUGUUGAGUCAAAUUAAGCCGCAGGCUCCACUCCUGGUGGUGCCCUUCCGUCAAUUCCUUUAAGUUUCAGCUUUGCAACCAUACUUCCCCCGGAACCCAAAGACUUUGGUUUCCCGGAAGCUGCCCGCCGGGUCAUGGGAAUAACACCGGCGGAUCGCUGGUCAGCAUCGUUUAUGGUUAGAACUAGGACGGUAUCUGAUCGCCUUCGAACCUCUAACUUUCGUUCUUGAUUAAUGAAAACAUCCUUGGCAAAUGCUUUCGCAGUAGUUCGUCUUGCGACGGUCCAAGAAUUUCACCUCUAGCGUCGCAAUACGAAUGCCCCCGCCUGUUCCUAUUAGUCAUUACCUCGGGUUCAGAAAACCGACAAAAUAGAACCGAGGUCCUAUUCCAUUAUUCCAUGCACAGGCAUUCAGGCCAUCAGUGUAGCCUGCUUUGAGCACUCUAAUUUUUUCAAAGUAAACUCUGCCGGCCACGC
rnacentral:rRNA from 1 species